UUGCAGUGCCCCAGCUAUGACUGCCAACAUCAACCAACUCCUGGAGAUAAGCAUGGAUAAAGCCGUGCUUGAUGUGGCAACACCCAAUCCUCCAGGUGAGGACAUACAAGAAACUCCAGAACAACAAAAAGUUUCAGGACAACUUCAGAUUUGGAGAAUUUCCAAAACCACAUACUCAUGUAUGCAGGAAAGCGGUUUGCCUACAGCCCCCCUGUUUACAAAACCCAGACAUUGCUUGCAGCAAUCGAUUACAACUAUCACAACCACCGCAUUCCUGCACGUGGCAAGGAUGGACACCGAAUGUACAGACAGUACUUCAACAAGAAGUCCGAGCACUGGAAGGAGAGCAAAGGCUACCAUUACAUUCCAGACCUGCAGAAGGCCAUCCUUGCUGAGAGGCUGGGAAGUGGAAUGGGCCUUCCAAGAAUACAGGGUCUAAGGCCUGAUGAUCCCAGGCGCUUGGGUUUGCUUGCCGCAACGCAGCCUCCAUCCACAUUUGAACUUGUCGCGGCUCAGGUUUCACGGGGAGAGGGUGGUGCCCAAAGUGAAUUCUAAACUAUUCCAUUCUUUCAUAGCUGUGUAUGUAAAUAAUUUGCAAAUAAUUCAAGAGUCGUAAAAAGAAAUAUUUUUUUUAUUUAUAUGUAAAUAAAAAACAAUGAACAUCAAACUGUACA
rnacentral:lncRNA from 1 species